rnacentral:lncRNA from 13 species
AAUCAAAGUAUCCAAGACUACAUUAGACUUUAUUCUGCUUUAGAAGCAUCUCAGGGAUAUACUUUAUUGGAAAAGGAUUUUGAGGAAUUAUAUCCUGAUGCACAUAUGAAACUAUAUGCGGAAUGGGCUAAAUUAUCAUGAUUCAUAGAAAAAAAAUUAACUAAAAUAGAACCUAAAUUCAAAGCAGCUUCAAAUCCA